rnacentral:rRNA from 1 species
UACAGAGGUCCCAAGCGUUGUUCGGAUUCAUUGGGCGUAAAGGGUGCGUAGGCGGCGCGGUAAGUCGGGUGUGAAAUCUCGGAGCUUAACUCCGAAACUGCAUUCGAUACUGCCGUGCUUGAGGACUGGAGAGGAGACUGGAAUUUACGGUGUAGCGGUGGAAUGCGUAGAUAUCGUAAGGAAGACCAGUGGCGAAGGCGGGUCUCUGGACAGUUCCUGACGCUGAGGCACGAAGGCCAGGGGAGCAAACGGG